rnacentral:misc_RNA from 1 species
UCUCCGUAGGUGAACCUGCGGAGGGAUCAUUACAGAGUUCAUGCCCUACCGGGUAGAUCUCCCACCCUAUGUUAUUAUUACUUUGCUGCUUUGGCGGGCCGUUAGGCUCCGGCCCGACUACCGGCUCCGGCUGGUAAGCGCCCGCCAGAGGACCCAAAACCCUGAAUAUUAGUGUCGUCUGAGUACUAUAUAAUAGUUGAAACUUUCAACAACGGAUCUCUUGGUUCUG